rnacentral:rRNA from 1 species
UGGGGAAUUUUCCGCAAUGGGCGAAAGCCUGACGGAGCGACGCCGCGUGGAGGAUGAAGGAUUUCGGUCUGUAAACUCCUGUCAGGGGGGACGAUGAUGACGGUACCCCCAAAGGAAGCAUCGGCUAACUACGUGCCAGCAGCCGCGGUAAGACGUAGGAUGCGAGCGUUGUUCGGAUUUAUUGGGCGUAAAGCGUGCGUAGGCGGUUACAAAAGUCUGGUGUUAAAGCUAGGGGCUCAACCCCUGUGAUGCACUGGAAACUAUGUGACUUGAGUGCGGUAGGGGAAGGUGGAAUUCCGAGUGUAGCGGUGAAAUGCGUAGAUAUUCGGAAGAACACCGGUGGCGAAGGCGACCUUCUGGGCCGCAACUGACGCUGAGGCACGAAAGCCUGGGGAGCGAACGGGAUUAGAUACCCCCGUAGUCC